rnacentral:rRNA from 1 species
CGGGAUCAUUACCGAGUUUACAACUCCCAAACCCAAUGUGAACCAUACCAAACUGUUGCCUCGGCGGGGUCACGCCCCGGGUGCGUCGCAGCCCCGGAACCAGGCGCCCGCCGGAGGGACCAACCAAACUCUUUUCUGUAGUCCCCUCGCGGACGUUAUUUCUUACAGCUCUGAGCAAAAAUUCAAAAUGAAUCAAAACUUUCAACAACGGAUCUCUUGGUUCUGGCAUCGAUGAAGAACGCAGCGAAAUGCGAUAAGUAAUGUGAAUUGCAGAAUUCAGUGAAUCAUCGAAUCUUUGAACGCACAUUGCGCCCGCCAGUAUUCUGGCGGGCAUGCCUGUCCGAGCGUCAUUUCAACCCUCGAACCCCUCCGGGGGGUCGGCGUUGGGGACCUCGGGAGCCCCUAAGACGGGAUCCCGGCCCCGAAAUACAGUGGCGGUCUCGCCGCAGCCUCUCCUGCGCAGUAGUUUGCACAACUCGCACCGGGAGCGCGGCGCGUCCACGUCCGUAAAACACCCAACUUCUGAAAUGUUGACCUCGGAUCAGGUAGGAAUACCCGCUGAACUUAAGCAUAUCAAAA